rnacentral:rRNA from 1 species
UACGUAGGGUGCAAGCGUUGUCCGGAAUUAUUGGGCGUAAAGAGCUCGUAGGCGGUUUGUUGCGUCGGCUGUGAAAUCCCGAGGCUCAACCUCGGGUCUGCAGUCGAUACGAGCAAACUAGAGUGUUGCAGGGGAGACUGGAAUUCUCGGUGUAGCGGUGAAAUGCGUAGAUAUCGAGAGGAACACCUGCGGCGAAGGCGGGUUGCUGGGCUGACACUGACGCUGAGGCGCGAAAGCUAGGGGAGCGAACGGG